rnacentral:lncRNA from 1 species
AGGACUGAUCGGAUGAUAACUUCUGGGUUUAUUUUCACCAAUGGAACCCCACAGUCAAGGCUCCAGGGUCAGUGUCCAGACCAAGAUCCCCUGAGGCCUGCUCAAGCUGACAUGUUUUGUCAAAACGCCAUGGUCAGAGCAACCUAUGGAAGGAGGAGGCUUUUGGAGCUUAAGAUUCCAGAAGAACAAGAGAGCCCACGAUGGCAGAGGAGAGGCCAGGCAACAAGCAGCAGUACCACCAACUGAGAACCAGGCCUUCAAACCCUGAGACGGUGAGGAACAUCUUCAGUCAGCCCAGCACACUUGACUUCCGGUUCUUCGCUUUUUUAAAUUAAAUUGCUUGAUGAUAUUUCUCAAAGUUGCCAUAGAAAGCAGGGGCUUUCUUAGUUAUUCAAAAU